rnacentral:rRNA from 1 species
GAUGAACGCUGGCGGCGUGCCUAAUACAUGCAAGUCGAGCGAACAGACGAGGAGCUUGCUCCUCUGACGUUAGCGGCGGACGGGUGAGUAACACGUGGAUAACCUACCUAUAAGACUGGGAUAACCUCGGGAAACCGGAGCUAAUACCGGAUAAUAUAUUGAACCGCAUGGUUCAAUAGUGAAAGACGGUUUUGCUGUCACUUAUAGAUGGAUCCGCGCCGCAUUAGCUAGUUGGUAAGGUACGGCUUACCAAGGCAACGAUGCGUAGCCGACCUGAGAGGGUGAUCGGCCACACUGGAACUGAGACACGGUCCAGACUCCUACGGGAGGCAGCAGUAGGGAAUCUUCCGCAAUGGGCGAAAGCUUGACGGAGCAACGCCGCGUGAGUGAUGAAGGUCUUCGGAUCGUAAAACUCUGUUAUUAGGGAAGAACAAAUGUGUAAGUAACUAUGCACGUCUUGACGGUACCUAAUCAGAAAGCCACGGCUAACUACGUG